UACGUAGGGUGCGAGCGUUGUCCGGAAUUACUGGGCGUAAAGAGCUCGUAGGUGGUUUGUCGCGUUGUUCGUGAAAACCGGGGGCUUAACCCUCGGCGUGCGGGCGAUACGGGCAGACUUGAGUGAUGUAGGGGAGACUGGAAUUCCUGGUGUAGCGGUGAAAUGCGCAGAUAUCAGGAGGAACACCGAUGGCGAAGGCAGGUCUCUGGGCAUUAACUGACGCUGAGGCACGAAAGCGUGGGGAGCAAACAGG
rnacentral:rRNA from 1 species